GACGUAGGAGGCGAGCGUUGUCCGGAUUCAUUGGGCGUAAAGAGCACGCAGGCGGUUUGGCAAGGCGGAUGUGAAAACCCGGAGCUCAACUCCGGGCGUGCAUCCGAUACUGCCCGACUAGAGGUAGGUAGGGGAGAUCGGAAUUCCUGGUGUAGCGGUGAAAUGCGCAGAUAUCAGGAGGAACACCGGUGGCGAAGGCGGAUCUCUGGGCCUUACCUGACGCUCAGGUGCGAAAGCUAGGGGAGCAAACAGG
rnacentral:rRNA from 1 species